AGACAACAAUAAGAUACCACCUAUCGUGAUCGUACCUACUACCUAGCUAGAUAGAUACAGGUCUCUAUCGACCUAAUAAUUUCCAGUGGUAUAUUUAAACAACACGUACAGAAUCUUGCUAGCUUCACCAUCAACUUCGGUAGAUCAAGAAGAUAUAAAAAUGGCUGAUAAGAAGAUGAUUGUUUUGGUGGCAUUGAUGGUUGUUGCAGCAGUAAGCGUAGUGGAUGGUCAGAGAAUUUGCAAUAUAAGCCGGACUGAAUUCGAUGAGUGUUUGCCAGCGAUGAUCGCUCCAGACCCAACUUUUCCAUCAAAGAGAUGUUGUGAGAAUAUUCACAAUGCUGACUUGCCUUGCAUGUGCUCUUACAAGGAUUCCUACCUUGCAACCACCGUUCUUCAGGUUGACACAGAACUCGCCAUGAAGAUCCCCAAAAAGUGUGGGCGUGUUCUGCCAUCCCCGUGUUGAUCGAUCAAUUAACCAUUCUUGGAACAUAUAUAUGAUUUUGUGCAUUUUGGAUUUUAUCUUUGGUUUAAUUUGUUCACAUAAAAUAGGUUGGUAACUCUUGUUGUUUUAUUUUCAAUGUUUCAUUAUGUAUUUAUUCAUUUUCAAUUUAUUCAAUACCAUAUUUGUUAAUUAUAAACCCUAAAUAACUCUUGUUGUAUUUAGGGUUUCGCUAUUUCAUAUUAUUUUGUUAUAAUUUGUGCUCGAAAAAUAUAUAUAAUCGUUUAUAGUGUUCACUUAACAUAUAUCAUUAGGUAAAUAUGAAACAAGCGGAUUAAUAUCAGUAAGUAUGUGAUUAGGUUUUAAUAAUUAAGGAAAUUAAGUAUCAUAGUAAUAGAGAAGAAUAAGUUAAUUAAUAACAUUUUUUUUUGUAUCUGAUGAUACCCUCGACCUACUAGAGUGGCCCAACAGGAGCAUGAACGGACCAGACCCAUAGGGGGGAGUACUGAGGAUAUACCCUUGGCCCACUGGUUGUUAUAAUUAACUAGAUAGACUUUGUUAAAUCUUUCACUACUCAAUGACGAUUAGAGAAUAAUCCGCGUGUCUUCUAUGGUUUCUCUAGUAUAUAUGCCUAAUGCCCAUGUCACUGUUGCAAUAGUAAGCCAAGUAAGCCCACAACACGAUCCACCCGCGGUCCUCCUCUGUUCGGCCUUCUUCCAUGUACCCAUCUAGUGUAGAUAGGUAAUUAGAAGGGAAAAGUUAGGUCUAAUAUCGGUAAGAAAGAUUUAUUUUCUAGUGUUUGUAAUGAUAAUAUCAGUAUCAAAAUAUGACACAUUGUUGAGAACAAUUGGAUUGAAAAAAAAAUAUUUUUAAAUUUUGUUAAAUGAUUUAAAAUUAGCCCAUCAGAGAAAAAAUUUCUGGAUUCGCCGCUAAUUUGGUCGUUGGGUUUUCAUUCACCAAAUAUUAAUCAUAGGGCGUGGUUACCUAAACCAUAAUCAACCUCACCCACUCAUUCGAAAAAUUAAAGACCUUUAUGAUUUCUGCCAAAGUCUUCCAAAGAGGAAAUCCGCGAUAGGGGAAGGACGUCAAAGUCAACCAGGUUAAAGAAACCAUCGAUUUCAGUUAUUUUUAUAUAAUUGCGAAUUUGUAAUAACAAUUAGGUCGUUGUUUAAAAAAAAGAACAACUAACGAUUAUGCAGAUUAAUAAAGUCUGAAAUUUUCCAUAACCGCCUACCUUGAUUCAAUCGAUUAAGUUGGGAUCGAGUUACAUCAAUUCAAAUGUUCGCCUCUUUUCAUUAUCGUAAUUAAUCUGAUCGUUGAAUCAAAGACUCUACUAGGACAUUAAUUAAGGUGACCUCGAUAUCUGAUAUUUACUUAUCGUACCUCCGAUCUUAGAUCUGAGACAUCUUUUCUAUCAGGUUCAAUUAUUCUUGAUUGAAUUGAUCUUGAAAGUUCACACUGAUCAGAUAUAGCUAUACACUACAGGAUUCCUGGGUUUCAGCAACAAUAAAAAAUCGUCGCUAAAUGUCAAAAAUCAUCGUUAGUGAUGCAAAUACUAAAUCGACUUGUGUAGUCCAAAUUUUUUUAAUAUGCGAACUUAGAAGGAAUGAACUCUAGAUCUAAAGACGUCUUAAAUAUAAAGGUGUAAUAUAUAUAAUGGCAACACUUCAAUGCCUACCUCCGAGCGGUGAUAUAUCAGAGUCACAUAAUAUAUUAUCGGUUGCAUCGUAGUGGAAUUUAAAGAAAAUACGUACACAACAUGAUUCGAACCCCUGGACCUUUAGAAACUUUAAUAGUUAUUGUACAUCAUAUGAGCUAGUCUCCCUGUGUGAAAGAAGUUGGUCUUCCCCUCCUUGUUUUUUUGUUCCAAUUCGUAGAAAUGGUUACAAACGAUAAUAAACAGUUUUAAAAGAGAUUAUUGCAUGUACUCUUUGAUGUGGGGAAAGGAAAAUGUAAGAUUAAGUUUGGUUUGGGAGAAGACAGAAUGAAUCUGUUUAAAAUAGCUACAUUAAUGAGUUCCACUACAAGAAAAAGGAUUAUCUGUCUGCAAAAUCAUAAGUUGGUCGCUUAUAAAAAAAACGACCAACUUUUUGUUCACUAUGUUAGUCGCAAGAAACCUCGUCGUUAGUGAUCUAUAAACGACCAACUUUUUGAGUUGGUCGUUUGAAGGUGACCAACUUGGUUGGUCGCUCAAUAAAUCUAAAUAUAUUUGACCAAAUUUUUUGUGCCAACAUAAAGACGACCAACUUGGUUGGUCCCAAAAAUCUGGCACCAACAUAAGGAUAACCAAUUUAGUUGGUCGUAAAAAUUUGAUGCCAACGUUAGGGCGACUAUAUAAUUUGGUUGGUCCUAAAAAAUUGACACCAACAUAAGAGAAGAUUAGACAGCACUGGUCAAACUUAAGUGUCUUAUCCAUUUAAUAUAGUUUCAUCAGUUAAAUAUAAAUUUAAGAUAUUAUUUUUUAGUUAUAACACUUUCCUAUAAAAUCUGGUUGUCCAUGAAAUAUAUGCUAAUAACAAAAAAACGGUUGAAAAGUAAACCAAUAAAUACAUGCAAACUAGAUAUGAAAAUGAGACAACAAUAAAGCAACUCCUAUCGUCGAUCAUCGUACAUACGUAGUACUUAGCUAGAUACAGGUCUCUAUUGACCUAAUAAUUUCCAGUGGUUUAUUUAAAUAACACGUGCAUAAUCUUUCUAACUUCGGUAGAGAAGAUAUAAAAAUGGCUGAUAAGAAGAUGAUUGUUUUGGUGGCAUUGAUGGUCGUUGUAGCAGUAAGCAUAGUGGAUGGUCAGAAAGUUUGCAACAUUAGUCGGACUGAAUUCGAUGAGUGUUUGCCAGCGAUGACCGCUCCAGACCCAACUUUUCCAUCAAAGGAAUGUUGUGAGAAUAUUCACAAUGCUGACUUGCCUUGCAUGUGCUCUUACAAGGAUUCAUACCUUGCAACCACCGUUCUUCAGGUUGACACAGAACUCGCCAUGAAGAUCCCCAAAAAGUGUGGGCGUGUUCUGCCAUCGCCGUGUUGAUCGAUCAAUAAUUAACCACUCUUGGAACAUAUAUAUGAUUUUUACAUGUAUUAGAUUUUAUCUGUGAUUUAAUUUGUUCACAUUAUAAAAUCGACCGAGAUUGGAUAACUGUUGUUGUUUUAUUUACAAUGUUUCGUUAUGUAUUUAUUCAUUUUCAAUUUACUCAAUACCAUAUUUCUCAUUGGUUUUUCCAUUUCAUAUUCUUUCGUUAUAACUUGUGCUCGAAAAAUAAUAUAUAUAACCGUUCAUUAUAUAGUCGGUAAAUUAAUUAAUAUUAGUUGAAGGUUUAGGGUUAGGGUUAGGGUUAGAAUUUCAGUGUACAUAUAUUUUAAUUUUUAUUUACUUAUGUACCAUAUACCUUAUUAUAAAAACGAGUCGACUCUGCAGUGUCGCGAUUCAUCUUGACUAGGGAUACAAACGAGUCUAGUUAAGCUUUGCAGGAAUUGCUCGAACUCGAUGAGAAAUUUUUGAACUUGAACUAAGGUCGAUUAAACAAAACUCGAACUUGAACUCAAAUUUUAAAAAAAUCUGAAAUAAUUAUAAGUUAUAAUAUCUAUUGUAAGUUUUCUCGAUAAAAGAAGACAGGAGUUGAAUAAGAUGCAGGAAUAUUAUGGAAGGAGUUGAAGGUGCAUGAACAUGACGAGUUGAAAUUUUGAAGGUAGAGGACGAUUUAAUCUGUUUUCAAGAGUUGAAGGUGUUGAAGUUGGAAGACGACAAGAGUUGAAGAUGAUGUUUUAGUUGAAGGUUUAAUCUGCUUCCAGGAGUUGAAGGUGUUGAAGUUGCUAGAGUUGUAGGACGACAAGAGUUGAAGAUAUUUAUAUAGGAAGACGUUUUAGGAAUUACGAUUUAUUUAAUUUUCAACAACUUUUCUCUUUAAUAUUUUUCUUUACUAUAUCGUGAGCAAUGAUAGAUUUAAUUUCGAUUUAAAAGAAAUGAUGUGAUAGAAUGAGAAAAUAAUUAAAAAAUUAUGAUGAGCGAAUUCCAUAAAAUAACCAGGGGUUGAUGAUGAAGACUGAAAUAUCCCACCAGCACUCGCGGUGGUGCGAGCGGUCGUCUUCUCGAGUCAGAAGCUCUGGAAUCCACAAAAACCGCUCUACGUCAAGUCUUUAGUGGAGGAUCGACGAUUUAGGCGUCAAAUUGGUGAUUGCUCCGUAAAUAUCGCAUUGGAAGGUUUAGAACUGAUGUCUUAGACGUGCUCCGGGGGUCUCCUUUUAUAGGGCCUCGGGAGGCGACAUCAGCGAAGGAGAUCACGCCUGGGCCAUAAUUACGCCAGACUGGACGCAGGUAAUGGCCCCUAAAUCGGUGAUUUAGAGUGGAAUCGACGAGUUGAAGGAAAAAUCGCGAAAUUUCCAGGACUCUGGUGACCUUCUCCCAAAAUCGACGAUUUACCUCAUCAAAUCGGCAAUUUGGGGGGCUGACUUUUGUCUCAACAUGGACCUUUGGUUUCGCUUCCGUGGAAGCCUUCUGGGGGUCCAACAUAUAGCGAACGGAACCUUGGUUCUUGUUGAUGAAAAGGACAGGUGUACAAUCUUGUAUCACCAAGUGACUUUACUCAUUUUUGGAUUUUCCGAACCACCGUUAAUGUAAAAAUCAACGGUGAAUUCAUAGGCAGCCUUCAAUGAAGAUAAGAGGCUCAACCUCUUUUGAAAUUUACCCUAUUAAUAAAGUGUAUAAAACCCGGGUCAGAUUGGGCUUUAGGCCGACCUGGAUUUGAUCCAAAAAAUGAUCGGGUCACUGGGUCAGAAUUAAAUUUACAUUCGAAAAAUUAGGUAAAUGACACGGUCCUAAUUAAUGACCAAUCGGGGCCAGGUAACAAACAGGCCGAUCCAGACCCAUUCUCAUCCCUAAUCUUUUUACACUCAACGUGAAGUUGGGCCAUUUCAAAUACCCCUUUGGAUGUGCAUGAUUCAUGGUUCUUGCACAGCAGUACAAAGAUACUUUCUUGAAUCUGAUUAUAUAUUGUUGGUGCCAUGCAUGGCUCAUUCAGCGGAUCAUGGACCGAACAGAUCACGAGCCCGACCGGGCGAUGGGCCUGAGCCAAAGGAGGCCUAGGAGACCAAGGGACCCUGGAACGAAUCCCAUCAUAAAUACCUCCCCUGGUCUAACAGGGGGAGGGGCUGGAAAAUAGAAAAGAGAAUACACUAGAGAGAGUUGUGUGCGUCUGUGAGCGACCGAUUUGUAACCCCACACACCAUCAUAUAUGAUGAGUAUGUUGUUACACAUUCCAGUGGUGCAAUAUUUUAUCGUUAAGUUGCUAUGACUGUCAGUGCAUGACCUAACUCUCUAUGCAGUAGAAUUUGAUAUUUGACAAAAUCUAAACUUUUGCAUUUUGUAUAUGAUUUUUUUUACAUAACGAGACUCGAACUCUGGACCGUCAGAAACCUUAAAUACUGAUUUUUAAAAAAGAAUUGAACACAAAUACAUUUAUUUUUUCAACAACAUAAUUGACAAAAUUUCAAUAACCUGAAAAUUUAUGAAGGGUAUUCGGUAUCCCCUCACAUUCAAUCUUGCACCUAUUCUAGCUUCUCCCAUACUUAGGUAUAUAUAUCCUUUACAUUUUCUUCCAUAAAUAACUUUUUUGAGAGGGGAUUUUCUUGUUGGGGAUUAUUAAUGGAAAUUCGUCACUAAAUCAUAGAUGUUGAAUUCGUCACUAAAAGUCAACCAUACAAUGUCUUUUUUUGGUGUCUUAUCCAUUUAAUCUAGUUUAAUCAGUUAAAUAUAAAUUCAAGAUGUUAUCUUUUAGUUAUAACACUUUUUCCAUAAAAUCUGGUUGUCCGUGCAAUAUAUGCUAAUAACAAAAAGACGGUUGAAAAGUAAACCAAUAAAUACAUGCAAACUAGAUACGAAAAUAAGACAACAAUAACAUACCACCUAUCGUGAUCGUGCCUAUUACCCUAGCUAGAUAGAAUAUACAGGUCUCUAUCGACCUAAUAAUUUCCAGUGGUAUAUUUGAACAACACGUGCAGAAUCUUGCUAGCUUCACCAUCAACUUCGGUAGAGAAGAUAUAAAAAUGGUUGAUAAGAAGAUGAUUGUUUUGGUGGCAUUGAUGGUCGUUGCAGCAGUAAGUAUAGUGGAUAGUCAGAAAGUUUGCAACAUAAGCCGGGCUGAAUUCAAUGAGUGUUGGCCAGCGAUGACUGCUCCAAACCCAACUUUACCAUCAAAUCAAUGUUGCGAGAAUAUUCGCAAUGCUGACUUGCCUUGCAUGUGCUCUUACAAGGAUUCAUACCUUGCAUCCACCGUUCUUCAGGUUGACACAGAACUCGCCAUGAAGCUCCCAAAAAAGUGUGGACUUGUUCUGCCUUCCCCGUGUUGAUCGAUCAAUUGACCAUUCUUGGAACAUAUAUGUGAUGUUGGAUUUUAUUUGUCGUUUUUUCAAAUAAAAUCGAUAGAAGUUGGUAAUUGUUGUUGUUUUGUAUUUCAGUUAAUGUUUCGUUAUGUAUUUAUUCAUUUUCAAUUUACUCAAUAACAUAUUUCUCAUUGGUUUCGCAAUUUCAUAUUACACUGUCAUACAUAUAUCUCUCGUCCGUCAUCUUCAAUCUUCGAUCUCUUAAAAGAAUCUCGUUCGACGACUGCUAAUUUCUUAAA
rnacentral:lncRNA from 1 species